AUGUUUUAGCUUUUUGUAGGAGAAUUGAACAAUCCUUUGAUGAUAUAUGCUUCCUUAUUAGGCUAUUAUUUUGCAACUAUUAAUGAGGUGGACUUUAGUCAAUUAAUUGUUUAAUGAUGUCUGAAAUUGGAUAAAGCUUUUUUGAGGAAGCUUUGACAAUGUUAUACUGAUUUUUUUUGCCUUGGAAGAAUAUCAGUGGUGUGCUCUCUUUUAUUUGUAAAGUCUGUUUUCUAUUAAGGGAAAA
rnacentral:misc_RNA from 1 species